GCCACAGUGGCUCAGUGGUUGAGCAUCGAUCGACCUAUGAACCAGGAGAUCUGGGUUCGAUUCCCAGUCAGGGCA
rnacentral:tRNA from 1 species